GUUAUUUCCCCUCGCAUAUAAAUACCGCACCACCACCUCUCCCUCAUCCACUUCUUCUCCCCCUUGCCUUCGUUGUCUCCGAAGCUGUGACGCCCCUGAUUCAAUCAUACACUAAUCAUACACGCAAAUGUGUACGAUCAAGAUCAGGGACUCACGGGAAGAUAUCACAACACAACUCUAGACACAAAUUAAAAUAAUACAAGCUUUAUAUUACAAGCCAGCGGCCUCGAGGGCUCGAAUACUUAAGCUCGAAAACACAAGAGUCAGUGGAAGCAAAAAUAUCUGAGUACAGACAUGAGUUAGACAAGUUUGCCUUAAGAAGGCUAGCACAAAAGCAUCAUCGAUCGAAAAGGCAAGGCCUCCUACCUGGGAGCCUCCUAACUACUCCUAGUCAUUGGCGGUCUCCACGUAGUAGUAGGCACCCUCAGUGUAGUAGCAGUCAUCGUUGAAGGUGGCGUCUGGAUCCUGGGCUCCACCAUCUGGUUGCAUCCACCAGAAAGAAGAAAGAAGGGGGAAAAGGGGUAGCAAAGCAACCAUGAGUACUCAUCCAAAGUACUCGCAAGCAAGGAACUACACUACAUAUGCAUCGGUAUCAUUGAAAUGGGCUGUAUAUGUGAACUGAACUGCAGAAUGCCAGAAGAGAAGGGGAAAGCCUAGCCUAUCGAAGACUAGCAUCUUCAAGCAGCUCCAAGCAUCUUGCAGCAUCAGAAGAGAUAAGAAUAACAUAAAGUAAAGUAGUAGUAGUGUUAUCAACCUCAGCCAGAGAUCCUUUCUCGACUCCCUGUGAGAAAGCAAUCCCAGAGCCAUGCUAUCCAGUUCCCAUCUCCAUUUCUCAUAUCCAUUUCUCAUCUCAGGUAUCCGUUCUAGUUGUAUCGAUCGGGAUACAACUCCAAGUGUCCGUUACCGUACGACAGGCUAUCCAUAGAUGUUUUCCUCCCUGCAGGGGUGCACCAACUUACCCACCACGCUCGAUUAACUCCGGCCGGACACACUUUCCUGGGUCAUGCCUGGCCUCGGCCAAACAAUACGACGCAACCCGACCUAGGCUUAAUAGAGAGGUCAACACGCCGGACUAAACAUAUGCCCCCAGGGGUCAUGGGCCAUCACCCCGGGAACUCCUGCACGUUGCGUACGUGGCCUAUGAGCAGACCUAGCUACCUCCUUCAAAAACCCAGGUGCUUACGCAGUCCAACCCGGCGCGCGCCGCUCAGUCGCUUACGGCUAUUAAGCUUCGGUUGAUGUAUACGACGUAGAACGUCCAUACUAUGCCCUGCUAUCAGGCCAGAGGCCCCUCGGAUCAAAUAUCCAAAUCAUAGUGGAUUAGGAACACGCGGUAACAAGCAGAGACUCACGAAAGAUGUGACCCUGUUGCCCCGUCUCGAGGACUUGCGGCAAGGGCUAGGAAUGUCCGGCCACGUCUCGUAAUUAUCUCACGGGCACCCUCCAGGUCAACCCGUCUCCACAUCACUCGCGGGUACCCCUCAGGGUCGACCCGCCUUUCGAAGUAACAAUUGUAAAGUACAAGUAUCCGUGUGUCCAAACAUCAAGGGGAAAACUCGAGGAAUCACCCCCGGUGAACUCCACUCGAUGUAAUCAUCAAGGUGAACUUAAGAGGAUCCACCCUCGAGGUUCACACUUGAGGGGUUGCACGACAGAGACGUAUCGGAAGUGGUUAAGGCGGAAUCACCCUCGAUGACCUCGACCGAAUAGCUACACUACAGGGUUAACAUCAGAAGUGCUGAUGAGGUCUCACCCUCGACACUCAAUAGUAACCCAGUAGUGUCGAGCAACUAAGGGGAAAGUGAUGUGCGGUGCCGGGGCCUGGCCUUCAAUCCCGUUGAUCGGGUGUUCAAUGAUGAAGAAGGGGCAACAAGGACAAGGUGGGGGUCACUGAUGGAUCACUAACCAACCUAUACUAAGCAGUUUAGGAUAAGCAGGUAGGUAACAAUAAGUAGGUUACAAAAGCAGGCUAUGCAUCAGAAUAGGAGCAAACAAUUACAGUAGCAAAAUCUAAUGCAAGCAUGAGAGAAUGGAAUGGGCGAUAUCGGGAUGAUCAAAGGGGGGCUUGCCUGGAAGCUCUGCUGUAAAGGAAGAAGAUCCGUUGGUGACGUAGUCGGUCACAGGGGCAUCAGCAGCGGUCUCGGGGUCUAUCGGAGAAGGAGAGGGGGAAGAAACAGUAAAUAUAAGGCACACAGAUGCAUGACAUGACAACAAGUAGCACUAGGCGUCUUCUAACGUAGUACUACACGAUACCGGCGAAGGGGGACAACAUCCGGGAAUGUUUUCCCGAAGUUUGGCAUAUUCGGACAGACGAAACGGAGGGGAAAGGUUGCAUGUCUGCAAUGCUAUGGGCAUGUGACAGAUGAACGGACCGCGUAUUCGGAUAUGUCUCAUCGUUCUGAGCAACUUUCAUGUAUAAAUUAUUUUCAUUGGACUUACGGUUUAAUUUAUAUGAUUUUUCAAAGUUUUAUUAAUAUUCUAAAAUUGUUUUAACUAUUUAUUUUGAAUUUAAAUAAUGUUGACUCUUUUUAUACCCAGACUGGCCCAGCCACAGUCAAUGAUAUGUGGGGCCAGUCAAAGCCCAGUCAUCAGGUCAACAGUCAAAGUUGCCCUUGGUCAAAGUGUGAAUAGUGCUAGUGGGGCCUACUUGUCAUAAACACUGUGUCUAUUAAGUCAAUUAAUUAGAGAUAACCAACAGGGGUGGUCCACAUGUCAUUUGCUAUUAAAGUAAAUUAGCACUAAUUUAACACUACUUAAUCUAGUCCUAAUUAAACACGGGGCUGGCCGUACUAGACAAUGGCCCAGCCGGCCACACACGCAACACACACACACACACACCACAAAUUAAGCCAUGGCCAUCGCCAUGUUCAGUAGAAGCAACAGUCAACGGCAAUUCAGCAGCAGCUAGUACCAAUAGUAGUGAGGAGGAGAAGCAGCUCGCCAGCAGCAAGUAGCAGGAGCAGCGCAGCAGCAGUACGCAGUAAGCAGCACAAGCGGCACGCAGCGACAUGGGGCAGCAGCAACAACAGGGGAGCAGCGGCAGGGCAAGCGCGGGAGCAGUGGGCGGCGCGGGCGCACGCACGCGCGGCCGGACGCGGCCAGUGGACAGCUAACGUGCGGCUGGUCGCGGCCAAGGGCGCGACGAGGCGCGCACGGGGCGCUGUGGCGCGAGGCACGCCCAACAGUCGGAGCUUGGGAGGCGCGGGGGUGGCGACACACAUCGUCGGGGAGAGAGUAAGAUAGGGGGAACAGGUGGAGGCUCACCCCGAGGAGGCCAUGGACGUGCUCGCCGAGGCCGGGAUGCGCCGGUGGUGGAGAUUGACGGCGAGAUGCCGCGGCCGUGGCGGAAAAACUGGCUCGAUCCCGAGCGUACGGUGCCUCCUAGCUUAUUCAAUGGAGGUAGAAGAAGGAGUCGAUGACGGCAGAGCUCCUGGACAACCUCCUGAUCGCCGGGGAGGCCAGUGGUCGCGAGGACGGCGAUGGCGCGUCAACGACAGCUCGGGAGCGAGCGAAACCGAGAGGGAGGGGACGAGUGAGAGGAUAAGUGAGGGCUAGGGUUUGUCUACAGGGUCGGGGGCCUUCUUAUCCAUCUCGGGGGCUCGCCAGAUGCACGACACGGCAGCAGCAGCGGCCAGGGCGGCGUGGAUGUGCGCCACGCACAUGCCUUUGCCUUCUCCUUUGUACUGAGAUUGAAGGAGGCCUGUGGUGGGCUCUGUUGGAAAAGGCAGUGCCUAGGAGGCGCUUAGGCACGCCUAGGCGCUAGGCAAUGGCACGAGGGCUCGAAUACAUAAGCUCGAAAACACAAGAGUCAGCGGAAGCAACAAUCUCUGAGUACAGACAUGAGUUAGACAAGUUUGCCUUACGAAGGCUAGCACAAAAGCAUCAUCGCUCGAAAAGGCAAGGCCUCCUGCCUGGGAGCCUCCUAACUACUCCUAGUCAUUGGCGGUCUCCACGUAGUAGUAGGCACCAUCAGUGUAGUAGCAGUCGUCGUUGAAGGUGGCGUCUGGAUCCUGGGCUCCACCAUCUGGUUGCAUCCACCAGAAAGAAGAAAGAAGGGGG
rnacentral:lncRNA from 1 species